UAGUGACAGCACGCAGUCUGAUGCAGCACGCGCGUGAUGCUGAAGAGCUUCGGGUCUGUAAGCUCUGUUGUCAGCGAUGAAGGGUGCCUGAGGACUGCGCGGCCUUGACGGUACCUGGCCAGGGAGCCCCUGCUAACUACGUGCCAGCAGCCCCGCGGUAUA
rnacentral:rRNA from 1 species